rnacentral:rRNA from 1 species
CACUCCUGCGGGAGGCAGCAGUGGGGAAUAUUGGACAAUGGGCGCAAGCCUGAUCCAGCCAUGCCGCGUGAGUGAUGAAGGCCCUAGGGUUGUAAAGCUCUUUCACCGGUGAAGAUAAUGACGGUAACCGGAGAAGAAGCCCCGGCUAACUUCGUGCCAGCAGCCGCGGUAAUACGAAGGGGGCUAGCGUUGUUCGGAUUUACUGGGCGUAAAGCGCACGUAGGCGGACUAUUAAGUCAGGGGUGAAAUCCCGGGGCUCAACCCCGGAACUGCCUUUGAUACUGGUAGUCUUGAGUUCGAGAGAGGUGAGUGGAAUUCCGAGUGUAGAGGUGAAAUUCGUAGAUAUUCGGAGGAACACCAGUGGCGAAGGCGGCUCACUGGCUCGAUACUGACGCUGAGGUGCGAAAGCGUGGGGAGCAAACAGGAUUAGAAACCCGAGUAGUCCCAU